GCUUAAUUUAACAGAAAAGCUUUUCCUCGGACACACUUGGUCUGGUUUUGUCCUCCAUCAAUAAUUUCUUAACUUGUCUUUCCUUCUUCCUCUUCUUUACAAACUCGUUUUCUCCUCUCCAGCCUUUCUCAAGCUUAAUUUAACAGAAAAGCUUUUCCUCGGACACACUUGGUCUGGUUUUGUCCUCCAUCAAUAAUUUCUUAACUUGUCUUUCCUUCUUCCUCUUCUUUACAAACUCGUUUUCUCCUCUCCAGCCUUUCUCAAGCUUAAUCCAUCUCUCCUGCUCAUGACAUCCACACUUGAAAUAAGGACUAAUUAUGAUUAU
rnacentral:misc_RNA from 1 species